ensembl:snRNA U1 U1 spliceosomal RNA
AUACUUUCCUGGCAGGGAACAUACCAUGAUCACGAAGGUGGUUUUCCCAGGGCGAGGCUUUGUGCUGACCCCUGCGAUUUCCCCAAAUGCGAGAAACUCGACUGCAUGAUUUGUGGUAGUGGGGGACUGCAUUCCUGCUCUCCCCUG